GGAUGUCCAUGUCAGAUGGCCCGAACAGAAAUUAUCUAACUCUUGCAGUGGUGCUGUUCACGGAUUCAUCACUAUCAUUGAACUCUUCACUUUCCUUUAUGCACUGUCAUAAAUUUCGCUUUGUUUCUUUUAACUCCGAUUUCGGAGUUCUAAUGGAGGAGAAUGUCAUCUGCACAACGGAAACCAACAGUGUUCCGAUUGAGGAGUUGUUUCAAACCAGCAUUCUUUUCAUGGAUAGGAAACGGAAAUUGCAAGCAGAAGAAUUAGGCACACCUCCACCAAAGCUUAAAUGGCUAAGUCGAGGCUUUGCUUCAGAGUAUACUUUUCCUGCUAAUGGUGACUCAGAUGUAAUAGAUAAAGGGGAGUUAAAUGGAAUGUCAACUGCUGAGGAGUCAGAACAAGAGUCUGCCAAGAUAGUAACAGUAUUGCUGCCGAUGCUGACUCGAGCAUUUCUGUGUCUAAUGAAACUGAAGUAGGAGCUGGUCAUGGAUAUUUCAAAGAAUAUUCAUCUGACAAGCCUAUAAAUUCUUCUGUUACCUGCGGAGGCAAUUGUUCUAAGCAUGCCCAAAAUUCUUCCAAGAGCAGUUUCAUAAUGAAAUCAAGUUCCCAUAUUCUGGAAUCACCAUCUGCUGGCAAAAAGCAUGAUUUUCUCUAUCAUGAUAUAGGCCUGAAGUCAUCCCUGAAUUAUGAGGAGCACCUCCUGGAAUUUGGAAGUCACAGCAAUUGCAGCUGUCUAGAAUGCAGAGCUAGUUUUGAAGGAUACACAGACAAGGAACUUGAAGAAAUGCUUUAUUCUAAUGGAGCGACUCCAAAUAAUUAUGUUCUUUCUUCUGAAAGAUGGACUCUAAACCAAGAUACUCAGCAAGGCGCCAAGAAAUUAACCAUUGAUAAAGAGUUCGAGCAGUACUUUUCCAUGCUUAUGCUGUGAUCCAGUUCUUUUGAACAUGAGCAGUUUAUGUACAUUAUUUAAUAAUUGAUGUUUAGGAGACAAAUUUGGGGUUGACAACUUAUGGUGGAAUUGCAAGUUUUUAGUUACUUACUGGUGCAUGUGCUGUGAAUUGCAGAUAUUGCUUAAAAAAAUUGUGUUUUUCUCACUAUCAAUUUUAGCUUUUUCGGAGAUGAAUAUUCUUCUGAGCCAGGUACUUUCUAUAUCUUUUUCUUCCUUUUCUUUUUGCAUCUUUUUUCAUGAUAAGCCAAUCACACUUAUUGUCUUCCAACAGACUCGUAUGUUUUAUUUUUCACGGGCCCCCAUGCUAAUUAAUGGUGUUGAUGUUCUUUGAACAGAUGAGAAUAUUUCAAUACUUUUUUACUUGCAAUUCCUUUCUUGCAGAGAUUGACAAAACAAUGAGGUAAUCCAAUAAGAAGUUCAUUUAGUAUUUGGCAGUAGGGUAACUUUUGAUUCAUUGACAAUAUUUUUUAGUCAGCCUCAUAGCUUUAAAUCAGUGUUAGUAUUGUCGCUCUAAUGCAGAAUUUCAUAAACCGUUGAAUUUCUGGAACAGCUUCAACUACAAUACUAAUAAGAGUUCCAAACUUUUUUGCAUGAGAAGAUGGUUCAUCUCCAAUGAAAUAGAACCUUAAGAUGAAGACAUGAAAUGACAUAGAAAUGUUCUCAGUUCACCCCUGGUAGAGACGUGCUUCAGACUUCAGCAAUACUUGUUUCAGAAGCACAAAUUAAUUUACAGCAUGAAAACGGAUCCUUGCAGUAGGGAGCUUGACAAAUGACAUGGAAUGAUUCCAAACCCUAAUGUAUCGUAUGACUUGGUUUAUUGCACAGCUUUCGUAACUGGCUAACAAAAAUAACAUGCAGUUGAAAGGCAUUGUCUCAUAAUUGAACAAAUGAAGCAAAUUUAUGGGGCAGAAAGUACAACAAAAACACUCAAGGAAAAUUGUAAAUUAAUGGGACCCAAUCAGCAUGAUGGAAGAUCUGAAGGAGGUGGUGGUAAUUUUUCAUUAGGGAGGAACCCAUUGAGUACAAUCCAUGCCAUUCGCAAACCCCAACUUGUGUGCACGUCAAAGUGGCAGUGCAUAAGCCAUACUCCUGUUUGACAAGGUACCUGGAUUGUCUGCAAAGAACCGAAUGGCGAGCCAGCCACCUGAUGGAAUCCCCACUGUAUUCCUUUCCACUGGAUCCACCAGGUUGAAGUUGGCAGGGUCCUUGUUUGGAUCGUAGUUUCCAAACCCUUCCCCAACGACGAAGAAGUUGAAACCAUGCAGGUGAAGAGGAUGGCUCUCUGCCCCCAGAAUGCUAGUGUCUUGCAACACUACCUCGACACUUGUAUUAAACUGUAACACGACAGUCCGGGUUGCAUUGGUAACUAUUGUGUUAUUAGGCGGUGUUCCAGUAUAGUUGUAUGGAUUUGUGGGUUGAGUUGGGAAAUCAGUGGUGAAAACACCAUUUGAUUUACCAAAAAAGUAGGAUUGCAGGAGAGCUGUUGAUGGGAGAGGAAAAGAAAUAUUGUUAACUGAAGCUGCAAAUUUUGUGCCAUUUGGUCCUUGGCAAGUUGUGUUAGCAGGGCAAGGACUUGUUCCAAGUCCUAUGGUGAAGUAAAAGCGCUUUUGAACGGUUUGUGGAACGUUUGCUGGAAAUUUGGCUGUGGCUAAGCUACGGAAUUUCCUGGUGAAGUUUGCAACAAAACUGGUGGCAUUCACUGCAGGCAGGGUUGGGUUUACGACUGUUUUGUUUGCAAUGGAAGCGUCGUGUUGGUAUUCAAGGAUCCGGCAACAGUGGAAUUGUCAAUGGUGCCUUGCCCUGUAAAGUAGGGUGCGGCAGCCAUGAUGAAGGUGGCAGUUGGAGAGGUUGGCUUGGUUUUCAGAAGCACAUUGGUGGUCUGGCCUGGGGUUAUAACAACUACAUCAGUCUUGAACGGUUUGACGUAUAAAGCAUCGGCUUCAACAACAGUGACCGAAUGGUUGGCUAUACUAAAAUAUAGUUCGUCAUUCAUUGCUGCAUUUAUCAGGCGUAGCAUGUACGUCUUGCCUGGUUGCACCUUCAACUUGAAUGUAUCUGGAAAGCAAACAUGCCCGAAAUGGAUUUUAAUUUCAAACAAGUCACAUUGUCUUUUAAGGAAGCAAACAGGUAUGGGAGAAGGCAAAAUGCAAAAUCUCCCCAGUAUAACGUUGAAAGGUAUUGAUUGAACAUCAAGUAGUAAGAUUCUUUAGACUCGUAUGAGAUUUUGAAGGGCGGUCUUCCGUAUUGAUUCAGGCAUAAGGAAGCUUUCAAACUUGAUUUGGUUUAACUAAGUUCUUCAGCUUCGAUUUUGUCUCAAUCCAGUUGUCAUUGUGCUUGCAGGUGUACAAUGGCUGUACUAAAUAUAAGGGGGUUACAAAUGAAGGAUUAAUUUUUCAAUACAAUGAUAGUGUAUAAUUACAUGUAUGAUAACUAAUUUAAAUUUUUUAAACAUGUCUUGUAUUCAAUCUGAAAGUAUAUUCGUUGUCA